GCGAGCAUUGCGAUAACCAGCAACUGCGGCAGCAGAACGUGAGGAAGGUAGGAGUGCACGUGAAACCAGAGCGUUAAAGGGGCGGGGCCUGUGGCAGAAACGGUUGCUGGGAAGGCACUGACCGCAGGUUUCGCGAGAGUGUCCUGUGAGCGUCAUCUGGGUCCUCGAAGAGGCAGCGGCUAGGCCUAAUUGCAACCCGGAGCCAUGCCUUCGGUUAAAAGAAGGGUCAGCAGACUUAAGCUGAAAGAGCUGGAAGUGAAGAAGGUAUGCCAAGUCGUGAAGGAUUCUGAAGGAAAGGAAGGUGUGGAGAAUCGGCCUCUUGUUGUCUUCACGGGUAUCAGGGCAGGCCAGCAUCGCCGGGAAAGGGCAAAAGUGAGACGUGAGCACGCCGCCCGCCGGUACUUUGUGCGCAAGAUGUGGAUUUUCCGGGCCCUUCUGAUACUCUCAGUGUUCAUCUGGUUGUUGAUGCUGUUCACCUCCUUUCAGUUUGGAGAAUAUUAUACAAAGAAGACUAAAAAUAAGUUCUUUGAAGUAGCGAGAGAGAAAGGGUUUUCAGAAUCCAUGUGUCCGAAUGAAGUUAACCUGCAGAACAGCAAAGUCAGUGACCACCCUCUGGAAAAAACAUCCACUUGGGAAGUUCUGUUCAAUUUUUUCCUUCCAACAACUUGCAUGAUAAAGGAGAACCAAAACAUAACACCUUGCAAUGAGCUGCUAAACCUUACUGAGACUGAAUGUUUGAAAUCCAAAUGCUGUUUUUCAACAUCUGUGACCAGGAAUUGCUUUGUCCCAUUAAGAGAUAAGUCUACACAGGUGAUGCGGAUAUUUGGACUUAGUGUAUUCAUCUUGCUUUUCCUGGGAUGGAUGAACCUUUGCUGCAUCUAUAUUUGGCAGAGGAGGAAUGACAGAAUGUUGAAGAAUCUAAAGAAGAAAAAGAAACUGGAGGACAGUACUGAAGUGUUAACAACAACGGAAGAGGAAGAUGUUGAUGAAGAGGAAAAAGAAGCCGAAGCACUGCUUUCUCGUUGAGAUGAAUGCACGACUUCCAGAGUGGAGAAGACUGUUCUAGUUAUCCAGUCUUAACAGUUCAUUUUAGAAAGACAAAAAUUCGUUCUUAUUUUUGUCAUCUUUGCUCUCAAAUAUAAAAUAAAGUUGAUACUUCUGGUUUUAUGCAUCAAACAGGAAUCCAAAUUAUUUUUGUUAAACAGUUUCUACAGAAUUUUAAAUACCAUUUGUAAAGUAUCAGUGGCAUUCAGGUCCUAUGUAGUAAUUUUUGAAACUUGG
rnacentral:lncRNA from 1 species